ACAAGAGUAGGGAAAGAGGGUUGAUGGGUUUGGGGAAUGAGUCAAUUUGUAACCGCCUCAUUUCAUGUUCCCAUCUAAAUAAGUUGAUUAUAUUAAUUUUUGGUUGCGAGGAUGCCGGGUUGCCAGGUUAGAUCUGUAAAUUCCCCCAGUGGGUGGAGCCUCUGGCCACAGGUCCUCUGAGCCUUUUUGUUUUGUUUUGUUUUUUUUCUCACAGAGGCACUGGAAACGGCUGCUGUCGUCAUGGCAACAGAGAGGAGGCUGGCGAGCUCGGGUUUCAUCCACGCCUUUGUCUCUGGUCUAUAUCAGGCUACCAAGUGACGUGUGACUUUGUGGACUCACAGGAAACAGAAGAACUCCACAACAAGCUGAAAACACAUCUCCGACUUAUAAAGCUCUGGUUUGGUCUCCACCACCUCUUGAUGGAUAGUCGACUUUCUCUUUGUCAGAGUGAGUUUAUUAAAGAUUUUUUUUUUUGCUGAAAACUGCUUCCUGAUGUGGCUUCAUGACAGCAGUAGCAUUCAACCAUACACUUAAUGUGCAACAAAACCAAAACAGGCAAAAAGGUGCAUAAAGCAGCAGAGUUUGGAGAUGAUUCUCUUACAUUACGAGACACCAUGCAUAUUAUAUUUAGUCAUUUGAUCCAAUGUUACUAUAAAAAAUAUUAACAAGUGGGGCUUUAAAAACAUUGAGCCAAAGGACAAGUUUGUAUGAACAACAGCAAUGAUGACACUUCAGUCUAAUUAUGUUAUUUAUUAUAUUAAUGUAUUUAUUAUAUAUGGUCAUAUUCUGUUGUAUUCUGUCAUGGUACACAUACAUUCCUAGUGUCUCUGUAUUGUUUGUCCCCUGUUGGUUCUCCGUCUGUGUUUGUCUGUGUAUCGUGUGUAUGUGUGUGUGUGUGUGUGUGUGUGUGUAUGUGUCUGCUAACGGGGCACGGCCUCCGAGGAACCUCCAAUCAGGAACUGACACACCUGCAACUCACCUGCUGUUACCCACCUGUUCUCCAUCCACUAAUCAACAACUGGCAGUGUACAUACCCAGCUCUUUGCUCCAGCUAUCGCCAGAUUGCCUGUCUACCUACGUGGUGUCAUCGCCUAGUCCACCGGCUCCUGGCGUUUCCCUCCACACACCUGGUGUCUCUCGUGCUUGUACUAAACUGAAACUAAUCACUCCAUUUUCCUCUGGGCUGCUGGUUUUAUUAAUCAUGAUUUCCCCUGUAAUAUUAUUAAUUUGAUAUAUUUAUAACAUUAGCAUAUUUUGGAAUUGUGUUUCUGUCCACCUGGCCUAUUCACUGCCCCUUUUAUCUCUGGUUUGGUGUCCACAACUCCUGAGGAAAAAAAAUAUAAAUCUAGCUCUUUAGUUAGAUGGUUGAUUUUCUUCACCAGGUAGGGGUUAAUUUAGUCUGUCAAACAGACGCUACCUUCCCAGCACCAAACGACAGACAAUGUGCUGAAAACAGCUGCCUGCUGCUGCUGAGAACAUGGUUGUUUAGGGGAUCAGAUGAAACCAUCCAGUAAAUGUGCUGUAAAACUACAACAAUCAGCAAGAAACAAUGAAAAGAGUUUAAAAAGCUUCAUAGAGCCACAGAGUUGGGUGAUAAUUCUGUGGGUUUGUCACCAUAAGCAACCCUUUUAACACUGAUCCACUGUUAAUCUAAAACAUGUUGACCUCUGUGUAAGGACAGCUGCGUUACCACAGUUUCUGUUUACACUUGAGUGUAUUUGGACAAGUAAACUCUGAUUUCCUUCACAUUUGUGGCUGUGUGUGAGUCAAAGGAAGCUGACUUGUAUGCAGAGCUUGUUUGGACAAACAAAUCCGUCACGUUCUUUCUAGCAACUACUGCUUUGGAUGACUAAUACCAUUGAAGAGAAUCUACAUGUAAAAUAUAAAAAAACAAAUACCAGAAUGUUGGCUAAAUUUUACAUUUUUGUCUGCUAAAAUCGAAACCACACACUGUCUGACAAACAAGAUAUGCCUUUACGUGGUCAGCUGAUAUUUGUGUCAAAAGUCAUCUCAGGCUCCAAGUGACAGUGGCUAAAAAACAUCUGUAUUAUGGGAUGUUUGUUUAUCUUUUAUUUUCCUUUGAGACACUGAUACACAGGCAAAUAUGAUGGCUUUGAAUUAUUGUGCCAACCAGCACUUUUAAAAGCUUCAGUCUAUAUAUCUGGAGACUCUUCGCAAACAGCUAUUUUUUCUGUCUGAACAUUUUUUUGAAACAUAAUUCAAAAAGAGAAAUUAUCAAAAAGACAUCCAGGACUGUUAAAAGAUACUUUCAAAGUUACUGAGUUGUCACCAUCCCAAAGCCUACCACUGGCUUUCAAAAGCAAAGAACUGAAAGCGGUUUCUGUCACUUUUAUAGUUUUGAUGUGACAUAAGAAAGGCUGAAAUAUCAGGAUAAAGCCACGUAUCACAGGAACAAGCAACUUUCAGAUUAUUAGCAUAUGACAAAUGGAAAGUUGAGCUACGAAUGAUUCCUGUGAGGACCAAGUCUGCAGGUUUUAGUUCAGAUAGCAUCUCAUUUAUAUUUACCAUUUACUCAUAACGGUAAAUGGACUGUACUUGUAUAAUGCCUUUCUAGUGUUCCGACCACUCAAAGCGCUUCACACAACAUAUC